GUGCUUGGAUGCCCGCUUCAGCAGCACAUAUACUAAAAUUGGAACGAUACAAAGAUUAGCAUGGCCCCUAUGCAAGGAUGACACGCAGAUUCGUGAAGCGUUUCAUAUUUUU
ensembl:snRNA U6 U6 spliceosomal RNA